rnacentral:rRNA from 1 species
CCUACGGGUGGCAGCAGUGGGGAAUAUUGCACAAUGGGGGAAACCCUGAUGCAGCGACGCCGCGUGAGUGAAGAAGUAAUUCGUUAUGUAAAGCUCUAUCAGCAGGGAAGAAAAUGACGGUACCUGAGUAAGAAGCCCCGGCUAACUACGUGCCAGCAGCCGCGGUAAUACGUAGGGGGCAAGCGUUAUCCGGAUUUACUGGGUGGAAAGGGAGCGUAGACGGCAGUGCAAGUCUGGAGUGAAAGGCGGGGGCUCAACCCCCGGAAUGCUCUGGAAACUGUACGGCUGGAGUGCAGGAGAGGUAAGUGGAAUUCCUGGGGUAGCGGUGAAAUGCGUAGAUAUUAGGAGGAACACCAGUGGCGAAGGCGGCUUACUGGACUGUAACUGACGUUGAGGCUCGAAAGCGUGGGGAGCAAACAGGAUUAGAUACCCCUGUAGUC